rnacentral:rRNA from 1 species
UACAGAGGGUGCAAACGUUGCUCGGAAUUAUUGGGCGUAAAGCGCGUGUAGGCGGCUCGUUAAGUUGGUCGUGAAAUCCCAUGGCUCAACCAUGGAAGUGCAACCAAAACUGGCGAGCUGGAGUCCUGAAGAGAAUGGCGGAAUUCCCAGUGUAGAGGUGAAAUUCGUAGAUAUUGGGAGGAACAUCGGUGGCGAAGGCGGCCAUUUGGGAAGGUACUGACGCUGAGACGCGAAAGCGUGGGGAUCAAACAGG